rnacentral:rRNA from 1 species
GACGAACGCUGGCGGCGUGCUUAACACAUGCAAGUCGAACGGAGAAUUUAUUUCGGUAAAUUCUUAGUGGCGAACGGGUGAGUAACGCGUGGGCAACCUGCCCUUCAGAUGGGGACAACAUCCCGAAAGGGGUGCUAAUACCGAAUACGAUCACGCUGCCGCAUGGCGGUGUGAUGAAAGAUGGCCUCUAUUUAUAAGCUAUCGCUGAAGGAUGGGCCUGCGUCUGAUUAGCUAGUUGGUGGGGUAACGGCCUACCAAGGCGAUGAUCAGUAGCCGGUCUGAGAGGAUGAACGGCCACAUUGGGACUGAGACACGGCCCAAACUCCUACGGGAGGCAGCAGUGGGGAAUAUUCCGGAAUGGACGAAAGUCUGACGGAGCAACGCCGCGUGAGUGAUGAAGGUCUUCGGACUGUAAAACUCUGUUGUUUAGGACGAAAGUGCCUGUUGCAAAUAGUUGCAGGUAUUGACGGUACUGAACGAGGAAGCCACGGCUAACUACGUGCCAGCCGCCGCAGUAA